rnacentral:rRNA from 1 species
CGGACGGGUGAGUAACGCGUGGAUAACCUGCCUCACACUGGGGGAUAACAGUUAGAAAUGGCUGCUAAUACCGCAUAAGCGCACAGUACCGCAUGGUACGGUGUGAAAAACCCAGGUGGUGUGAGAUGGAUCCGCGUCUGAUUAGUCAGUUGGCGGGGUAACGGCCCACCAAAGCGACGAUCAGUAGCCGACCUGAGAGGGUGACCGGCCACAUUGGGACUGAGACACGGCCCAA